UCUUGGUCAUUAGAGGAAGUAAAAGUCGUAACAAGGUCUCCGUAGGUGAACCUGCGGAGGGAUCAUUACCAAUGUUCUUCGAUCGGCUCCGGCCGACCGACCACAUUACACCCCUUCUUUACGCGUACCUUUUGUUCUCCUUCGGCGGGGCGACCCGCCGCUGGAACCACAUCAAAACCUUUUUGCAUACAGCAUUACCUGUUCCGAUACCUAUAAUCGUUACAACUUUCAACAAUGGAUCUCUUGGCUCUGGCAUCGAUGAAGAACGCAGCGAAAUGCGAUAAGUAGUGUGAAUUGCAGAAUUCAGUGAAUCAUCGAAUCUUUGAACGCACAUUGCGCCCCUUGGUAUUCCAUGGGGCAUGCCUGUUCGAGCGUCAUCUACACCCUCAAGCUCUGCUUGGUGUUGGGCGUCUGUUCCGCCUCCGCGCGGGACUCGCCCCAAAGGCAUUGGCAGCGGUCUCUUGCACCUCUCGCGCAGCACAUUGCGCUUCUCGAGGCGAGGCAGGCCGCGACCACGAAGCCACACAUCGUCUUGACCUCGAUCA
rnacentral:rRNA from 1 species